AACGAACGCUGGCGGCAGGCCUAACAUAUGCAAGUCGAGCGCCCCGCAAGGGGAGCGGCGGACGGGUGAGUAACGCGUGGGAAUUUUUCCUGGAGUACGGAACAACCGAGGGAAACUUCGGCUAAUACCGUAUGAUGUCUAGCGACCAAAGAUUUAUCGCUCUGGGGUAAGCCCGCGUCAGAUUAGGUAGUUGGUGGGGUAACGGCCUACCAAGCCUGCGAUCUGUAGCUGGUCUGAGAGGACGAUCAGCCACACUGGGACUGAGACACGGCCCAGACUCCUACGGGAGGCAGCAGUGGGGAAUCUUGCGCAAUGGGCGAAAGCCUGACGCAGCCAUGCCGCGUGAGUGAAGAAGGUCUUAGGAUUGUAAAGCUCUUUCGCUCGUGACGAUGAUGACGGUAACGAGAGAAGAAGCCCCGGCUAACUUCGUGCCAGCAGCCGCCGUAAC
rnacentral:rRNA from 1 species